ensembl:lncRNA PMS2P4 PMS1 homolog 2, mismatch repair system component pseudogene 4
AUUGAGUCCAUGGAGCGAGCUGAGAGCUAGAGAUCUAAAGCUUAAGGACUAUGGAGUGGAUCUCAUUGAAGUUUCAGACAAUGGAUGUGGGGUAGAAGAAGAAAACUUUGAAGGCUUAACGAUGUCACCAUUUCUACCUGCCACGCAUCGGCGAAGGUUGGGACUCGACUGGUGUUUGAUCACGAUGGGAAAAUCAUCCAGAAAACCCCCUACCCCCACCCCAGAGGGACCACAGUCAGCGUGAAGCAGUUAUUUUCUACACUACCUGUGCACCAUAAGGAAUUUCAAAGGAAUAUUAAGAAGACGUGCCUGUUUCCCCUUCGCCUUCUGCCGUGAUUGUCAGUUUCCUGAGGCCUCCCCAGCCAUGCUUCCUGUACAGCCUGCAGAACUGGACCAUUGCAAGCUGCAGAAAAUGAGAAGACCCUACUGACCAGCCCAAGAAGACAGAUGACAAGAUACUGAGGAUGGCCGUAUAAGAAAAUAAACAACUUGCUAAAACUGCUGAAACUCCCUCUGCUUGUGAGAUUUAAAAAAACUGGCUGAAAUUGGUUGGAACCAACAUGUCCAAUGGAGUCUGAAUAGAAAGAGCUUGCUGACAUCACAGCCCGAAUUUCCACCACAUUUCAUACUAACUCCCCCUGAAUUUGCAUAUGCAAACCACAAGCAAGCAUGAUCAAACAGACAACUGCGCGUGUCCGAGGACUUUCCAGAUCUCCCCUUUCCUUCCACCAAUCACUUACUAAUCUGAGAAUCCAUCCCCUAAUAAAAUCACUGCCUUAAAGCCUGCACAGGAAGACAAAUUUGA